UGGCAUAGCUGAUCAGAAACAAAACAAAACAACUAUCAAGCAAAGCCGGUAAAGUUUUAAUAAAUCGUUGCGCGUUUUCAGGCCUCGAAUUUUUCGCUGCUUAUACGAUACAGUUUAAUUGGUAAAGCCUAAGAAAUGUCUAAGAAAACGCUUGUGGAGUAUUUCCAUAGAGGAAAGAAACACCAGAAUUCAACGCUUGCGAACCAGAAAUCAGUGGUUUCAAAUGAUGCCAAUAAUAAUAAUGCAGCUUAUGAUGCACAUGGUUGCGAAAUCUUUGCUGUAGAACACGGAAACAUGGACAACUCUGCUGGGUC